GAUGAACGCUGGCGGUGUGCCUAAUACAUGCAAGUCGAGCGAACAGACGAGGAGCUUACUCCUCUGACGUUAGCGGCGGACGGGUGAGUAACACGUGGAUAACCUACCUAUAAGACUGGGAUAACUUCGGGAAACCGGAGCUAAUACCGGAUAACAUGUUGAACCGCAUGGUUCAACAGUGAAAGACGGUCUUGCUGUCACUUAUAGAUGGAUCCGCGUCGCAUUAGCUAGUUGGUAAGGUAACGGCUUACCAAGGCAACGAUGCGUAGCCGACCUGAGAGGGCGACGCGCCACAAGGGAACUGAGACACGGCCCAGACUCCGAGGGGAGGCAGCAGGGGGGAAUCUUGGGAAAGGGGGGAAAGCAUGAGGGAGCAACGCCGGGGGAGGGAAGAAGGUUUUCGGAUGGAAAAACUUUUUUAUUGGGGAAGAAAAAUUGUGGAAGAAACUAUCCGGGUGUUGACGGGACCUAAUAAAAAAGCCCCGGCUAACUACGUG
rnacentral:rRNA from 1 species